rnacentral:misc_RNA from 1 species
GGGAAGGUACACAGAAC